UGAAUGGGAAUCCGGGGAAUAACUGUCUUAAUCAAGUUAUAUAAAAAUUACUUAGUAAGUGAAAAGUCUUACAGAAAGAAGAAAGACGAGAAGACCCUAGAAAUUUUUUAUAAGUAUGUUCUACAUAUUCUAUUUUGUUGGGGCGACAUAGUAACAGUUAACUUACUAUAUAACAUGCUAUUUAUAAAUAGAAAGAAUAAAUUACUCUAGGGAUAACAGCAUUAUUCAUUUUUUUGAGUUUGUGACCUCGAUGUUGGACUAGGAAAUAAUUUACUUAAAAGGUAAAUUAAAAGGCUCUGUUCGAGCUUAUAUCUCCUACAUGAUCUGAGUUCAAACCGGAGCUCCA
rnacentral:rRNA from 1 species